UACGAAGGGGGCUAGCGUUGCUCGGAAUCACUGGGCGUAAAGCGCACGUAGGCGGCUUUUUAAGUCAGAGGUGAAAUCCUGGAGCUCAACUCCAGAACUGCCUUUGAUACUGGAGAGCGUGAGUCCGGGAGAGGUGAGUGGAACUGCGAGUGUAGAGGUGAAAUUCGUAGAUAUUCGCAAGAACACCAGUGGCGAAGGCGGAC
rnacentral:rRNA from 1 species